CUUUCUGCAGUGUAGUGGUUAUCACAUUUGCCUGAUAUGCAGAAGGUCCCUGGUUAGAAACCAGGCAUAAACA
rnacentral:tRNA from 2 species